rnacentral:misc_RNA from 1 species
GAGAAAGUUGUAUGAAAUAGGAGGGGCAUAGCGUGCGACCAUCGAGCAUAUCAUAAGCAAACUGACUGAACUUGUUUGUCUUGGAGUCAAUGAAUAAAAUGUCAACAUUCCUAUUUUGAACAAGGAAUAGUAUGUGCACAUACACAUAUACAUUAAAGGAAUAAAGGCAGCAACCUGCACAAGAAACAAGGGAAAGAAGACAGGAAAACAUAAAUAUGACUGUACAAGCUAGAAAGUAACUUUAAG